AGGGUUCGAUUCGUGGCUCGAGGACGAACGCUGGCGGCGUGCCUAACACAUGCAAGUCGAGCGGGGACAUACGACGGAGGGAAAGUUUCGGAUGGAACCAAAGAUGUAUGUUCUAGCGGCGGACGGGUGAGUAACGCGUGAGCAACCUGUCCCUUACAGGGGGAUAACACAGCGAAAGUUGUACUAAUACCGCAUGAGACCACGGUGAGACAUCUCACAGGGGGUCAAAGGAGCAAUCCGGUAAGGGGUGGGCUCGCGUCCGAUUAGAUAGUUGGUGAGGUAACGGCCCACCAAGUCAACGAUCGGUAGCCGACCUGAGAGGGUGAUCGGCCACAUUGGGACUGAGACACGGCCCAAACUCCUACGGGAGGCAGCAGGUGGGGAAUAUUGGGCAAUGGGGGAACCCUGACCCAGCAACGCCGCGUGAGGGAAGAAGGUUUUCGGAUCGUAAACCUCUGUCCUUGGUGAAGAGGAAGAGACGGUAGCCAAGGAGGAAGCCCCGGCUAACUACGUGCCAGCAGCAGC
rnacentral:rRNA from 1 species